UGGGUAGUCCGUACGAGCGCACCUUGUCCCUAGUUGCCAGCGAUUCGGUCGGGAACUCUAGGGAGACUGCCGGUGACAAACCGGAGGAAGGUGGGGAUGACGUCAAGUCCUCAUGGCCCUUAUAGGCAGGGCUACACACGUGCUACAAUGGCCGGUACAGAGGGUUGCCAAGCCGCAAGGUGGAGCUAAUCCCACAAAGCCGGUCGUAGUCCGGAUUGGAGUCUGCAACUCGACUCCAUGAAGUCGGAAUCGCUAGUAAUCGCGGAUCAGAACGCCGCGGUGAAUACGUUCCCGGGCCUUGUACACACCGCCCGUCACACCAUGGGAGUGGGCUGUACCAGAAGUAGGUAGUCUAACCUUCGGGAGGGCGCUUACCACGGUAUGGUUCAUGACUGGGGUGAAGUCGUAACAAGGUAGCCGUAGGGGAACCUGCGGCUGGAUCACCUCCUUU
rnacentral:rRNA from 1 species